rnacentral:rRNA from 1 species
UACGAAGGGGGCUAGCGUUGCUCGGAAUCACUGGGCGUAAAGGGUGCGUAGGCGGGUCUUUAAGUCAGGGGUGAAAUCCUGGAGCUCAACUCCAGAACUGCCUUUGAUACUGAGGAUCUUGAGUUCGGGAGAGGUGAGUGGAACUGCGAGUGUAGAGGUGAAAUUCGUAGAUAUUCGGAAGAACACCAGUGGCGAAGGCGGCUCACUGGUCCGGUACUGACGCUGAGGUGCGAAAGCGUGGGGAGCGAACAGG